rnacentral:rRNA from 1 species
UACGAAGGGUGCAAGCGUUACUCGGAAUUACUGGGCGUAAAGCGUGCGUAGGUGGUUUGUUAAGUCUGAUGUGAAAGCCCUGGGCUCAACCUGGGAAUGGCAUUGGAUACUGGCAAUCUAGAGUGCGGUAGAGGGGUGUGGAAUUCCCGGUGUAGCAGUGAAAUGCGUAGAUAUCGGGAGGAACAUCUGUGGCGAAGGCGACACCCUGGACCAGCACUGACACUGAGGCACGAAAGCGUGGGGAGCAAACAGGA